GACGAACGCUGGCGGCGUGCCUAAUACAUGCAAGUAGAACGCUGAAGGAGGAGCUUGCUUCUCUGGAUGAGUUGCGAACGGGUGAGUAACGCGUAGGUAACCUGCCUGGUAGCGGGGGAUAACUAUUGGAAACGAUAGCUAAUACCGCAUAAGAGUAGAUGUUGCAUGACAUUUGCUUAAAAGGUGCAAUUGUGUCACUACCAGAUGGACCUGCGUUGUAUUAGCUAGUUGGUGGGGUAACGGCUCACCAAGGCGACGAUACAUAGCCGACCUGAGAGGGUGAUCGGCCACACUGGGACUGAGACACGGCCCAGACUCCUACGGGAGGCAGCAGUAGGGAAUCUUCGGCAAUGGACGGAAGUCUGACCGAGCAACGCCGCGUGAGUGAAGAAGGUUUUCGGAUCGUAAAGCUCUGUUGUAAGAGAAGAACGAGUGUGAGAGUGGAAAGUUCACACUGUGACGGUAUCUUACCAGAAAGGGACGGCUAACUACGUG
rnacentral:rRNA from 1 species